rnacentral:rRNA from 1 species
GAUGAACGCUGGCGGCGUGCCUAAUACAUGCAAGUCGAGCGAACAGACGAGGAGCUUGCUCCUCUGACGUUAGCGGCGGACGGGUGAGUAACACGUGGAUAACCUACCUAUAAGACUGGGAUAACUUCGGGAAACCGGAGCUAAUACCGGAUAAUAUAUUGAACCGCAUGGUUCAAUAGUGAAAGACGGUUUUGCUGUCACUUAUAGAUGGAUCCGCGCCGCAUUAGCUAGUUGGUAAGGUAACGGCUUACCAAGGCAACGAUGCGUAGCCGACCUGAGAGGGUGAUCGGCCACACUGGAACUGAGACACGGUCCAGACUCCUACGGGAGGCAGCAGUAGGGAAUCUUCCGCAAUGGGCGAAAGCCUGACGGAGCAACGCCGCGUGAGUGAUGAAGGUCUUCGGAUCGUAAAACUCUGUUAUUAGGGAAGAACAAAUGUGUAGUAACUAUGCACGUCUUGACGGUACCUAAUCAGAAAGCCACGGCUAACUACGUG